CUCGGCGCCGAUAUCCCACUCGCUGGUGCUCCAGGCGGGAGGACGGCCACUGUGAGCGGCAGGAGACUGCGGCCCGAGAGGAGACGGACAGGAGCUACCGGGGUCCCCGGGGGACGGGGCAGGUGCCGCCAGUCCGCACGGCCUAAGAAAGGACAGAGAACAUAAUUGCAUUUGAAUUUUCUCUGCAAUGAUAAGAGCAAGACCUACCUUAAGCUGACAGAAACAAUGCAUCUUUUCAACACUGCAUAUUUUUCUUUUCACUGUAACUAAAAAUAUACAGGAAUUUGUGCGUUCGUAAUUAUCCUCAAAGAAACAGAAAUUGCUCCCAUUUAAUUUUGCCGAACAAAUACAAAUAAAUACGCAGAGACACAAUUGGGGCUAGCGUGGGACUUGAAUAAUUUAACAAAUCCGGUUCUAUUCAGGUGAUAUUUAUUGCAACACACAUUGUCCGUUAACUGUUCAAUGGUCCCCCUUUCCCUGCUGACUAAAGCACGAUUUGUUCAAGUAGAAGGCAGAAGCUAUUGAUCUCUGGAACGGUAAAACCCUAUUUCAAUCCCAGGAGGGGCUAAAUCAUGAGUGGUCUAAGUCUUCCAUGACAGACCCUCAUUUAACUCUUAAAGCAACAUAUGACUUGGUUCUGGCUGAUGAGAUGUGAGGGGAAGUCUGCUAGAAAAAUGUUAAGAUAUGAGAAUGAGAACGCUUUCCUUCUGCCUUCUUCCUACCUGAACCAAGCCAUCAUCUAGAAAGACAGCAAGUGUAAAAGGCAUCCUGUAACGUUAAAAAUGGUGGAACAGGAGAAAAAGCACCUGAUGUAAUGAUGGAGCUGCAGCAUGGAACAUAGAAGCCAUGCCUCUAGUCUCCUUGUUAUGUGAGAACGAGUACCCAUAUUUAUUUAAGCUAUGAUGAGUUUUCUGUUACUUGCAGUCAUAAUGACAUCUAACUGAUACCUGAAUUAAUUUCCUACCACGGCUCAUAUCAUUAUAAGUUCAAAAAAUAAAAUAUUAUGAGUAAGAUGUAGUCUUUGUCCUUAAAGAUUUUAUAGUCUAAAUUUAAAAUACUUAAUAUGCCUGUAAAAAUACUUUUAACCAAAUUUAGUAUUACAUUAUGUGUCAAAUCAAUGUUAGCUUCCUAGGGUGUUUACAGGGUCCUCUAGGGAACACUGCUAAAGAAAUGAUGGACUGUUCUCCAGAAAUUAAGAGGCUUCACAGAUGACAUAGAACAGUCUCAGCAAUUUCAAAGCUUUAAAAGGGAAUUAAAAACAGCUUCAAGUAUAAAUAGCAAAGACAAAUUAAUUGGUAAAUGCAAACCUUUCUUAUCAGUAUGUACACCCAUUACCUUAUUCAAUAUAGCAGCAUAGCCACAUUGAGGAUUUAGCAAGUGGAACAUUUUCUUUAAAAUAAAUGCUCAGAACAUGCAGGUUAAUUUACAAAUUCAUAAAGUUCUGUGUUUGUAUGAGAUUACCCAUUUUUAUUAUCAAAGAAGAUUUUUCUGGUGUAAAUAAUCUUAGAUAACAUUUUAUAUUCAUGACAUUAGUUACUUUUUCAUUUCCUUUUAUAUAGUUACAGAUCAUAAACUGCCUUUUUAUGAACCAUCUAUUUAAUCAACUGAAGGGGUUUCACUAUCUCAAUUAAGUUACAAAAUAAACUUUGAUUCACUGGAAAAAAAAAGACGAUAUAAUAUUAAAUGCAUAUUACUUUCAGUUGUAGUAAAAAAAAAACCCACACAUUUUAACAAGUAUUCUGUAGAGAUGCCAAACCAAUUCACUCCUUAUUAUAGCAUUUAUGAUAAUAAUACAGAUUCAUGGUAAUUAUUUUUGUUAGUGUUAGUAUAUGUCCAAUCAUAUUUGAAUUAGUGUUGACUUGGAGUAAAUGUUCCUUUCAUUCACUGUAAUUUGAGGUAAUGGUAAUAUAACUGACCAAGUUUCUUGGAUCUUUAGUAAACCAAGACCAAUAUUAAAAAAAAAAAAAAA